GUGGUUGUGGCUCAUUGGGUAGAGUGCUUGCCUAGCAUGUAUAGGGCCCUGGGUUAGAUCCUCAGCACCACA
rnacentral:tRNA from 1 species